GCUAUUUAACCAAGUUAGGGUAGGGUGCAAGCUAGGUGGAAGGACCAUACUACCUGAAUCUAGGGUGCACAGGUUCAUCUGUUUUGUAUCUUUUUCUAUUGCAUCUCCUUCCCUGAUGAGGAUGUUACAAGGGCCAGCGUUGACAUUUAAGCAGGGGUACCCACAGAUAGAUGUCCUGGUCCAAUGACACACUUGCUUUUUCAGACAGAGGAAGUCAAGUUUGCAGGGGCGU
rnacentral:lncRNA from 1 species